CUUAAAAUGGCGGAUCGACUCACACAUGCACUAAUAGAGAUAGUGCUUUCUGAUCUAAUUGCAAAUUUCUGCAAUGAAAAAAUUGACGACGAAACGGUAUCAAAACUUAACGACACCGAACUAAACCGUCUCGGGUUGAAUGCGAUUGGAGAUAGACACAGAUUUCGUGAACAACUACGAACUGACACAGCCAUGUGCAUUUCAGACGAUGGCCCAGAUGUGUUUGGAAGGCCUACAUCACACUCACAAUGGUUAAGCGAAUGCCAUCAAUGGAGUUCCUGUUGCAUGCAACAAGUGUGACGCUAACAGUGAAGAAAUUAACAACCAUUUUGAAGCCUGUGUUCAGUGAAAAUGGCUCAAAUAAACAUGUUGAAGAAAAGACAGUGUAUGGAAAAUUUGUUAAGUAUUAAAGAGAAGUUGCCAGUGGUAGACGUGAAGGAAUAUCUCUAAACAAUUUGCUGUCUUUUGCCACUGGUGUUGCAGAUGAGCCAGUGUUAGGUUUUUCCAUGGAGCCUUCAAUAAUAUUCUCAGAGAACGAGUUUUUAAUCCCUACAGCACAAACUUGUAUUAACAUACUAAUUUUACAAACACCAACGCAGACCAUGAUACUGACUGAAGAUAACACAUUGUUUGACUUGUAUGACUUAGCUUUUGCAAACGAGUUUUUUUGGUUUAAAAUAGUGUUUAAUCAUACAUAAUAUUGAUGUGAACUUUCCGUAUAGUUUGCUCUUUGUGAUGCAACUACUGCCUUUAUGUGUUGUCUGGUAUUUUCAUGAAUCUCUUUACAGUAUUUCCAAACAAUGAGUGAACUUAAAUGAAAAAUAACUGAUACACUACAACACAGCUCAUAUUAAGUUCAAUUGAAGCCUCUUUGAAGUUGUAACUUUAACUUUAUGUUGUAGAAUGGUUAUGAAAUGAAUGCAAUGGGUCUUAGUUUAGUGUAAUAUGAAGAUUAAUAUGUAAAUGUUGGGCAUUUAUAUGCAUAGUUAGAUCACUGCAAAGACCUUAGGCCUUAAGAUUAAUUACAUCUAUGCAACAACGCUGAUCUAAUUGUUUACAUUCUAUUACUUCCAAUUGAUACACAAUAUCUGCAAUAUCGGACAAUUCUGCUAUUGAUAAUGGCACAUAUAGUUUGCACUUCAGUUCACUUUUGCAUUUAUUACAUAAACACCAUCCUGGUGCAGAUAGAACUGGAAGUGUCAAUGACAGUAUCUGAUGUUUGCAUUGUUAUAGGGAAAGAAAAACAACAGAUGCUCAAAAUGUAUAGAACAUCCGCGGUUAUCAGAGUUGUACUCCCUUUUUCUUGUGACCAUGGUAACAACUAAUAAUUGUUUGCCAAGUGUAUAAAAUGUACUAUAAUAAUAGUCAUUUAAUUGUUUACAAAUGAGUUGUUACAUCUAAAUAAUUAUGUAAAUAGAUUUAACCAGUAAUAGUUAACACCUGCACUUGUACCUACCAACUUUAUGUAUCGGCAAAUAGAAAUCUGUGUAAAAAGACAAUAUGCUGUGUAAUUUGGUAAAUAGAGUUUAAACAUGGGUGUUUAAAAAAACAACAUCUUUUUUUACCAGUGCAUUGAAUUUAAAUAAAUUUGGUAAAAGGAAAUUUAAUUUAAAUUACUGGUAAUUUGUUUCAAUUUCUCAGAAGGUUAUACUUUAAAAAAAUAAUGAGGGGGGGGGAGUAUUUUUUGGAUUCUAAUAAUUGCAAAAUUGUAAUUUGCAAUCAGGCUAACCGGUAAGUCCCUGUAAGCUACAAUAACACCCGUAGGUUGAAAGUUAUAGUCUUAAUUAAGAGAUGGAAGGGCUUUGGUGACAUGUUCUCUGUGUGCACCAUUUAUUUUUUGUUGUUCAACUCUUGUGUUCAUUUGUUGUUGUUAUUCGUUCAUGUUAGACUUUUACAAAACCUAAUAAUGCAACUGGAUAUAAAAAUGUUAAGUGAUAUUAUAAUCAACACCUGAGCAUUGCUCAAAAUGACUUAAAAGGAAUAUGCAUUUCAAGCAAAUUUCUUAUUUUGGGGGAAAAGCAUUUUUACACAUUCUUAAAGGAUUAGCAUUGUCAAUUCAUAUCACUAUAUCUCCUGUUAAUGUUUUUUUGUGUUCACCUUAUCAUUUAAAAGAGAAGAUAUCAUUGUGCAGAUGUCUUUAAGAAUGUGUUAUGCUGCAUUUCUUUUGUGGCUUGUUGCCAUCCUUGAUAUAUAAUGCUUUUGAUAACAUUUGUACUAUUGUUUUGUCAAAUAAGGCUUACAAAUUGUGAUGCAUUUUGUAACUGCUAAAACAUUGACUCAGCUUUAUGUCUGUGCCAAGCAGUCUUGAUAGAUGAGGUAUAUUUUUAAUGUCCUAAAGUUGUCAGGUAGUGCUGGUAUGAAAACUUUUUCUACCAAAUCAAACUUUUGAGUUUAAAUAGACAAAUUGUUAGGAAAGACUGGCAGUGAUUUCAUUUCAAUAUUUCACUAUUUUGAUAAUUCACAAUAUCACCACUUCAUGAUUUAACUUUUUUAAAAGUUUAAUCCAUAUUUUUCUAGAUUUCAGAAUCUCUUCAUUUAUGCGAGUGUUUGUUCUGACCAGGAUUUGUCUGUCUUUUUGUCUGUUGGUCUGAAGCAAACCUUUAACAUCGGCAAUGAUUUUUAAAGUACUUAAGAUAGUUUCAUAGGAACUUUAUAUUUGAUGUACAUGUUCUUUGUGUUGAGCCCUUUUAAAUGAAAUCAUGGUUAACACUACUGAAUGCAAAUCAGAAUCAUUACCAUUUGUUUAAAAAAAUGAAACCGGAUAUAAUUUAUUAACCAUUUAGAUCUUUGAAACAAUUUCAUGUAACAAUACCUUAUCUUAAUUUUGAAGUUAUUGUCCUAUGAUUAAUGUCAAAAAGUGGCGAGGGGCAUAGGGUUUUACAAACACAUCGUGUUUGCUUUUUAAGAGACACAUCUGUUCAAAUAAAUGAAUACUAGUAACAGGUAUGUAUCUUUUUCUCAAAUUGCAAAUUUUCCUGAUACAUAAUUGUGCAGUGAUCUUUUGAAAAAAAGACACAUUGAAGUAAUUGAUUGUGUACACUAUUAAACAUUUAAUACAUUUUAAAUCUGAAACCAAACAUAAGAAGGGUAUUUGUAUGUUUGUUUAUCUGCACCAAUAGAUACAAAGAGUGUUAAUCACUUACUUCCAUGUGUACAUAUUUACAUCACGAUUCAACAAACUUAAAAAUGCAUCUUGUAAGGAACAAGAGGCAUAUACAAAAGCAGGUUUCAGGACACAAGUUUUCAUGUUAAACAGAUCGUGUACUGAAAAAUGUUGACACUUAUUCAUUUGAUAAAAGUUACAUGUUUUAGUUCGAGUUAUUUACUAUUUUGAAAUAAAGUUCUUAAAUCAU